rnacentral:rRNA from 1 species
AUUGAACGCUGGCGGCAGGCCUAACACAUGCAAGUCGAACGGUAACAGGAAGAAGCUUGCUUCUUUGCUGACGAGUGGCGGACGGGUGAGUAAUGUCUGGGAAACUGCCUGAUGGAGGGGGAUAACUACUGGAAACGGUAGCUAAUACCGCAUAACGUCGCAAGACCAAAGAGGGGGACCUUCGGGCCUCUUGCCAUCGGAUGUGCCCAGAUGGGAUUAGCUAGUAGGUGGGGUAACGGCUCACCUAGGCGACGAUCCCUAGCUGGUCUGAGAGGAUGACCAGCCACACUGGAACUGAGACACGGUCCCGACUCCUACGGGAGGCAGCAGUGGGGAAUAUUGCACAAUGGGCGCAAGCCUGAUGCAGCCAUGCCGCGUGUAUGAAGAAGGCCUUCGGGUUGUAAAGUACUUUCAGCGGGGAGGAAGGGAGUAAAGUUAAUACCUUUGCUCAUUGACGUUACCCGCAGAAGAAGCACCGGCUAACUCCGUG